rnacentral:rRNA from 1 species
UACGGAGGAUGCGAGCGUUAUCCGGAAUCAUCGGGUUUAAAGGGUCUGUAGGCGGGCCUAUAAGUCAGAGGUGAAAGCGCUUAGCUCAACUAAGCAACUGCCUUUGAAACUGUAGGUCUUGAAUGGUUGUGAAGUAGUUGGAAUGUGUAGUGUAGCGGUGAAAUGCUUAGAUAUUACACAGAACACCGAUAGCGAAGGCAUAUUACUAACAAUUGAUUGACGCUGAUGGACGAAAGCGUGGGGAGCGAACAGG